rnacentral:tRNA from 1 species
AUGCGAAUAGUAUAUUUUAGUAAGUAUGCCUUCUUUCCAAGUAGGUGGUCUCUGUUGAAGGAGUUUGUAUA